rnacentral:lncRNA from 1 species
GUCAUCAUCCAUACUCCGCUAGAUAACAGAAUCAACAACAUCAACAUCGAGGCCUCUCAUCAUUUUAUCACACAUCACCUAUUACAUCUACCCAUGUUUUACCCCAACAUUUCAAAUCACUGAAAACAUGUAUAAAAACGUUCAUUCAGUAUAGACAGCAAGUCAGAUAAUAUGCACACAUAGCACGUAAUUUAUAUAAAAUACUUCAUAUCUAUGUGUAAGCUGAAAGUAACUAUGCACUCACUUGUUAAAGUGAUGAUUCCAAAAUCGGGCAGCGCUUGCUUCUAAUGAUUUUAUUUUCCUUCGACGAAACUAAGCAUUAUUAUCACUAAAUUUUAGUCUAAUAUUUACCGUGACCAACUAUUAGUCUUAGUAUUAUUAUUAUUAUUAUUAUAUAAGCAUUAAACAAUAUUUUCCAACCACUAUGUACAGACAAGGGCCAGACAUAAAACACCGGGGGGCGGGACCAUUUUGGCAUAUAACACUUCUGAAAUCCAACAAUCUUAUGUGGUCCUUUAAACCAGAUUCCCCGUACCGCGAGUAGUUAAAAAAAUAUUAUAACGACACUUAUAUAAGUUAUAAUAAUAGCUCAAAUAUUUAUUAUAAGUUCAUAAUAACAAUACUAAUUUUAAAUAUAAGCUAUAAUAAAAUAGGGUAAACAUAACUUACUUACAAGUGGGUUUUAGCUAGGAUUCGGGCUCUGCAGGGGCAGAACUUCGUCGCUGAAUCUUUCUAAGAAAGAUUCGUGCAGCGCUUCAGUGCUCACCUUUACUAAACUACAGAAAGAGAAUUCGAAUCACGAGGGACCGAAAUGCUCGGGGGAUAAGAAGAGAAAGACUCUUGAACCAAGAGAAUGGUGCAAGAAAUAUGAGAGCCCGAGGCUCUUAUUUAUAGUAAUUGAAUUUACAAAAACUACCCUCCAUAAUUAGUUAAUGACCUUAUAGUUAUAUAAACGACUAAACACCCCUUCAUUGUACUAUUUUAAAUAGAUUUAACGAUUUUUGUACUAAACUAAUGUCAAAAAUACUCAACAAUAGUCUUAUAAUGACCGUAUCGUCGAUACCUUUCUAAUGAUAUAUACAUUUGUAUAUAUAUGUAUACAUAUAUAUGAUUUAUACUUUAUUUUAAUACGUAAAUAUGUUAUUAUAUUUUAUAACUCGUUCAUACGAACUCCGUUUUUGACGUUCUUUAUAUACACGCGUAGGCGGGACCGUACCCUACAACUUUCGUUUAGACUCCGUCGGCUAAUUUUGACUUUAUUUUUCAAGUUAUAUUUUUAACAGGCCGGGACAGGAUUGGUUCGUUAAAAUAUCAUAACUUCUUCAUACGAAGUCAGAUUUGGGCGUUCUUUUUAUGGACGCUCUCAGUUUAAUAUAUUCUACAACUUUUGUUUAGAUUGCUAAGGCUAAAAGUCGCUCUAUCGUAAAUUCACUAUUUACGCUUCCCGGUGUCGCACCUGUUCCAUCGUGAAACUUCGACGAGUCAUAACUUCUUCGUUAUAACUCGGAUUUCGGCGUUCUUUAUAUCCUCGGAAUCCUUGUUUCGACCACUACAACUUUAUGUAAAGAUAUAGGGCUUAUCUCACAUUUUAAUUUUGAUUCUUAUUUUUAUUCUUUAUUUAUUACACAUUUAUAAAUAUGUAAUGAGGAUAUAAAUUCACAUAAUUCACAUAAUACUCAAAUAUUUCAUAUUUAUUAUCUCAAGAAGAGUUAUAAUAGUUGACCUAGACUAUUACAUCGCCCGAAAAUGCUUAGCCCUGAAACCCGGGCGUUACAAUUCUCUCCCCCUUAGGAUGAUUCCGUCCCGGAAUCAUGCAUCAGCAAACAGAUGUGGAUAGUGACUCAUCAUGUCACUCUCUGUUUCCCAAGUGAGAUUCGACCCGUUCGAGUGUUUCCAUCGAACUAGCACUAAAUCGACCAUCUUGCGUCGUAACUUCUUAGUCUUACGAUCAACAAUUGCCUCGGGCUCUUUGAUUAGCCUCUUAUUCUCAUCCAUUCUUAACUCCGAGAUUGGAAUUAUGUCAGGAACUUCUCCCACGAACUUCCUCAAAUAACACACAUGGAAGGUGUUAUGAAUACCAUUGAGUUCUUCAGUUAAUUCCAGCUUGUAAGCUUGGUUCCCAAUCUUAUGAAGAACUUUAAACGGUCCAAUAAACCUUGGACUUAGCUUUCCUCGUUUCCUAAAUCGUAUAAGUCCCUUCCAUGGUGAGACUUUAAGCAAAACCGAAUCCCCAACUUCGAAGGUCAUCGGUCGUCUUUUCUUGUCAAUGUAGCUCUUUUGACGAUCCUGAGCUGCUAACAUCCUCUCCCUAAUCACCUUCAGCUUCUCAGCAGUCUCAUGGACUAUCUCAGGGCCCAUAAACUGCUUUUCUCCAGCCUCAAGCCAACAAGACGGCGUACGACACUUCUGUCCAUACAAGGCUUGAUAAGGUGCCAUCUUGAUGCUCGAGUGGAAACUGUUGUUGUAGGAAAACUCUACUAAAGGUAAGUGCUCAUCCCAGUUACCUUGGAACUCAAGGGUACAUUCUCUCAGCAUAUCUUCUGGUGUCUGAAUCGUUCUUUCACUCUGACCAUCAGUCUGCGGAUGGUAAGCAGUACUCAAACAUAACUUUGUACCCAACUCCUCUUGUAAACUCCUCCAAAACCUCGACGUGAAACGACUAUCACAAUCUGAUACAAUCUUUAGAGGAACACCGUGAAGUCUUACUACUUCCUUCAUGUAAGCAUUUACGAGCUUAUCCAUAGACCAUCGCUCGUUGGCUGCUAUGAAGUAUGCACUCUUAGUGAACAGAUCUACGACCACCCAAAUCAUGUCGUGACUGCUCUUUGUCCUAGGUUGUUUGGUCACAAAAUCCAUGGUGAUGUCCUCCUAUUUACCCAUGGGUAUAGGCAAAGGUUCCAAACUCCCAUACGGUUUCUGAUGUUGUGCCUUAACUCUCGCACAUCUCACACACUCGGCCACAUACGUCGCAACAUCGAGCUUCAUCAUCGGUCACCAGUAGUAGGGUUUUAGGUCCCUAUACAUUUUAGUGCUAUCGGGAUGAAUCGAGUACAUGGUCAUGUGUGCUUCUUCCAUCAGAAGAUCUCUUAUUCCUCCCAUCUUAGGUACCCAAAUCCGAUCUUGGAAUACCUUUAGUCCUCGAUUGUUUGUACCGAACACUAAAGUUUUGCCCAAACAUUCUUCCUUUCGGUCAUUCUUCUCUAAAGCUUCUUCUUGAGCUUUCCUGAUACAUUCCACAAUCUUCGAGACGACUUCGAUUCUCAACGCUCUUGGCCUCUUCCCUUCAAGAUUGACUUUUCACUGAGUGCAUCAGCAAAAACAUUUGCUUUACCGAGGUGGUAAAGUAUCUCAUAGUUAUAGUCCUUGAGUAGUUCUAGCCAGCUUUGUUGCCUCAUGUUCAAUUCUUUCUGAUUAAAGAGAUAUUGGAGACUCUUAUGAUCAGUGAAAAGCUUGCACUUCGUGCCAUAGAGGUAAUGCCUCCAUAUCUUUAAGGCAAAUACUACCGCCGCCAACUCUAGAUCAUGAGUGGGGUAGUUCUUUUUGUGCUCUUUCAAUUGUCGAGAGGCAUAUGCUAUCACCUUUUCUCUUUGGGUCAGAAUACAACCCAACCCGACUCCAGAUGUGUCACUGUAUACCGUGAAGCCUUCAACUCCAUCGGGUAGAGAAAGUAUCAGUGCUUCACAUAACUUCUUCUUUACCUUCUCGAAUGCCUCAUCGUGUUUCUCACUCCACGUAUAUGUAGCUCCUUUGUGGGUCAACGUUGUUAAUGGUGCAACUAUCGAAGAAAAGCCUUGGAUAAAUCGUCGGUAAUAUCCAGCUAAUCCCAGAAAACUCCGAAUCUCCGUGGGACUUUUCGGACGUUCCCACUUCAUCACAGCCUCGAUCUUUGCAAGGUCAACCAUUAUCCCUUCUUGGUUAGCCACGUGACCCAAGAACUGGACUUCUUGUAUCCAAAAAUCACACUUGGAGAACUUAGCGUAAAGUUUCUCCUUCUUUAACACUUCCAACACUUCCCGUAGAUGCUUGCCAUGCUCCUCUUGGCUUUUCGAGUAGAUCAGAAUGUCGUCGAUGAAUACUAUCACAGAUUUAUCGAGGAAUAGUUUACAAACCCUGUUCAUCAAAUCCAUGAAUGUUGCAGGAGCAUUGGUUAGUCCAAAUGACAUAACCAAGAACUCAUAGUGUCCAUAUCUUAUUCUGAAUGCAGUCUUCUCGAUAUCCUGCUCUUUCACCUUCAGCUGAUGAUAUCCUGACCUAAGAUCGAUCUUUGAGAAGUAGCUCGAACCUUGCAGCUGAUCAAAUAGGUCAUCAAUCCUCGGCAAUGGAUACUUGUUCCUCACCGUUGCCUUUUUCAGCUCUCGGUAGUCUAUACACACUCUCAUGCUUCCGUCAUUCUUCUUCAUGGAUAACACUGGAGCUCCCCAGGGUGAUGACCUAGGUCGAAUGAAACCAUUGUCCAACAGCUCCUGAAGUUGUGUCAUAAGUUCCUUCAUCUCCGUCGGUGCUAAUCGGUAAGGUGCUAUUGCUAUUGGUGUCGUCCCUGGUAACAAGUCUAUCUGAAACUCCACUUGCUAUCAGGUGGUAAUCCGGGAAGAUCUUGGGAAAGACUUUCAGAUAAUCACAUAUGACCGGUAUGUUCUGUACCUCCUUCUUUUCCUUCUUAGCAUCGAUUACGAAUGCCAAGUAUGAUGCAUUGGACAAACAUCUUCUGGCUUUCAUCAGGGAGAUGAUCCCAGAAUUCACUUUGUGUUUGUCCCCGUACACCAUAAAUGAUUCCUUUCCGGGUGGAUUCACCCUUACUAUCUUCUUUCGGUAUUGAAUCUUAGCAUCGUUGGCGCUAAGCCAAUCCAUACCCAAAACGAUGUCGAAACCGUUUAACUCUAUGGGUAAUAGCUCUUCGUGGAAUUCGUUUCCAUUUAGGUUGAUGACGAUGUUCCUAAUACGAUCACUAACAGGUACGAAUUUGCCACUAGUAACUUCUAUAAUCAGGGAAUUAUCAAGUUUUUCUACAGGCAAUGCUAAUUUCCCACCAAAUUUACACGACACAAAGGAGUAGUUGGCUCCGGAAUAAAAUUGUAUAUUUGCAGGCAAACCAUUUACAAGAAAGGUACCUGAAGCGACAUCUGUUGCCUCCUUUGCAGCCUCGAGCGUCAUCUGGAAGGCUCUUGCCUUCGGCUUUGGUGGAAUGCUAGGUCUUCUUGCCUCCUUCUUCUUUGGGCAGUUCCUCAAAACAUGCCCUUCUUCAUUACACCCAUAACAGGCCUUCUGGGUGAGGGUGCAUUCAUUGGCAUAGUGUCGAGGCUUUCAGCAUUUGAAACAAGUGACCCCUCCAUCACACUUCCCAGAGUGCUUCUUUUUGCACUUGUCACGCCACUUCGCUUCUGAUCCUCCUCCUCCCGAACCAAAUUUUGAGAAUUUACUCUUCUUUCCGGACCUCGAGGAUCCGUCAAAUUUCCUUUUCUCACCAACCUCGGCCCUCUCUAGACCCCUUUCUUUCUGCUGGGUCUCCACAUUCUUAGCCGCUCGAACAGCUGAUUUCAAAGUGGUUGCCAUCUUGACUGUUGGGCCAAAGUCGGCUAGCAGUCUGUUUGCGAACUUCUUAAUUUUGGAAAUUUCGGUUGGCACUAAGUAUGGAAACAACUUCAUCUUUUCUGUGAAUGCGGCAGCAUAGUCGUCGAUGCUCAUUCUUCCCUUCUUCUAGUUUAGGAACUCAUUAUUCAGAUCAAUUAGAUCUAUCUCCGAACAGUAUUGCACCUUCAGUUGUUCCAAGAACUCAUCCCAUGACAUUUCAGAGCUUCUCCUCGCAGUAUUGUAUCCACCAAUAGCUUCCACCAGCUCAAGACUCCAGCUUUCAAUUGUCUCACAUCGAAUACGGUCUUCUACUUCUCGCUACAAUCGUAGCUCUCAAACACCAUCUCCAUCUCAGAAAUCCAACUCAUAAUCUCAACAGGCUUUGGGCUUUCUGAGAUACUUGGUCGUUUCGCACCCAAGAAAUUCUUAUACAUUCGCCCAUCCUUGUCGUUUCUCCUUUCCGGGCCAUCCCUUCGUUCACCUUGAGUCCCUACUUGACUCACUUGGCGGCUAUAGUUCCCUUCCUCAGAUUGCUCAGGAAUUGGCUCGGGCGGCUCAACGUGUAUGGUAGGUUCGUCCCUAUUUUCGUGGAACAUCUGUCUCAUUUCUUCCCUUUGUUCAGCUAGCAUAGCCCGAAUCAUGGCUUGUACUCCAGCCAUGGUGAUUGGCUCGGGUGCAACUUCUUCUACAACAGGUAUUUGCUGAACCACUGGGGGUUGGUUCCUAUUCCCAUUUAUAUUCCCAGCUCCACUGCGGGUUCUUGUCAUUUUGAUCUAUACACCGAAUAAGGUGAAUUUAGAUCUUUAUUUAGGAUAUACAUUUAAACCAUCCUUAUCACUCUGAAACAUUUACAUGCUAGUUCUAAUAUCGUAGUCGUAUGUUUAGAAUCCUAAACAUAUAAGGUUUCCAGAUCCGGUCGGCAACAGACCAUAGAUCGGAACAAAUAACAACAUAUCAGGCACAAAGCAUUUAGCACAUAAAAACAUUUUAGACACAGUUCCUAAAAUAAGCUAGUGCUCACAUCUCACAAUCAUCGCUUAGGAUUCUAAGUUUAAGUCUAGAAAUCCUACAUAUUCCUAGUUCGCUUAAACUAAUGCUCUAAUACCAACUGUGACAUCCCCAUUUUCACGACCAGAAAAGACCGAUUUUUGUUUAUGCUUUGUUUGAAAAUCAGAGUAUCAUUUUAAAUAAAACUGUUGCCGAAUUUGUCCCAAAACAAAAUAUGAUAAAGAUUUAUCAAAAGCAUUUCCAUAGAAAUGUAUUUCAUUAAAAAGAAUCGGGAUGUCAUGUUCGAUACAUAUCAUAAGCAUAAACAAUACAACAUAAGCCUUACUACAUUAUUUCAUAUCUACAGGCUUAUAUCUGUAAUCCUUCAUCCAAAACAUCACAUCUAUGCUUAAGCGCCACUACCUAUAAUACAUGAAACUGAGUGGGUCAGGCUUAUGAGCUUGGUGAGCACAUAGGGUUUUCAACCCACAAUAAAUAAGUUUAUUAAUUUCAUCAAUCAACAAUAACCCGAAUGGACACUACUGCCAAGGGGAUUCCUCGGAAAUAAACGUCCUUAAGACAACCAUGUGGGGGAUGGAGUACACCGAUGAACACAUCGUUCACAAACACCUACAGGUUGCGAGCCUGCUAGCGUUCCACUGGACUGUCUAGAAGAGUCUGUGGUCGUCAUCCAUACUCCGCUAGAUGACAGAAUCAACAACAUCAACAUCGAGGCCUCUCAUCGUUUUAUCACACAUCACCUAUUACAUCUACCCAUGUUUUACCCCAACAUUUUUGUAGAUAUAAAAUAAAUAUACAUUUCAAAUCAUUGAAAACAUGUAUAAAAACAUUCAUUCAGCAUAGACAGAUUCAGACAANUGCACACAUAGCACGUAAUUUAUAUAAAAUACUUCAUAUCUAUGUGUAAGUUGAAAGUAACUAUGCACUCACUUGUUAAGGUGAUGAUUCCAAAAUCGGGCAGCGCUUGCUUCUAACGAUUCUAUUUUCCUUCGACGAAACCUAGCAUUAUUAUCGCUAAAUUUUAGUCUAAUAUUUACCGU